rnacentral:ribozyme from 1 species
UACGAAAUAAAAAAAAAAAAAAAAAAAAAAAAAA